rnacentral:rRNA from 1 species
AACGAACGCUGGCGGUAUGCUUAACACAUGCAAGUCGAACGAACAAAAUUGGGGCUUGCUCCAAUUUUAGUGAGUGGCAAACGGGUGAGUAACACGUGGGAAUCUACCUAUCAGUACGGAAUAACAUUUGGAAACAGAUGCUAAUACCGUAUAUUCUCCAAGGAGGAAAGAUUUAUCGCUGAUAGAUGAGCCCGCGUAAGAUUAGGUAGUUGGUAGGGUAAUGGCCUACCAAGCCGACGAUCUUUAGCUGGUCUGAGAGGAUGAUCAGCCACACUGGGACUGAGACACGGCCCAGACUCCUACGGGAGGCAGCAGUGGGGAAUAUUGGACAAUGGGCGAAAGCCUGAUCCAGCAAUACCGCGUGAAUGAUGAAGGCCUUAGGGUUGUAAAGUUCUUUUAGUUGGAAAGAUAAUGACGGUACCAACAGAAAAAGCCCCGGCUAACUCCGUGCCAGCCGCCGCGGUAA